rfam:Aspergillus versicolor CBS 583.65 unplaced genomic scaffold ASPVEscaffold_3, whole genome shotgun sequence.
GGGGCUGUGGCGCAAUUGGUAGCGCGUGAGACUCCAGAUCUCAAGGUUGCCCGAUCGAGACGGACCAGCCUCA